rnacentral:rRNA from 1 species
GGUUGAUCCUGCCAGUAGCAUAUGCUUGUCUUAAAGACUAAGCCAUGCAUGUCUAAGUAUAAACUAAUUUAUACGGUGAAACUGCGAAUGGCUCAUUAAAUCAGUUAUAGUUUAUUUGAUAAUACCUACUACUUGGAUAACCGUAGUAAUUCUAGAGCUAAUACAUGCUAAAAGGGGGGACGCAAGAACCCCUGCAUUUAUUAGAUACAAAACCAGUGCGUGGUGGUUCACUCCACCACGGAACACAUGGCGAGUCAUAAUAACUAAGCGAAUCGCAUGGCCUAACGUGCCGG